rnacentral:rRNA from 1 species
CCUACGGGAGGCAGCAGUAGGGAAUAUUGCUCAAUGGGGGAAACCCUGACGCAGCAACGCCGCGUGGAGGAUGAAGGUUUUCGGAUUGUAAACUCCUUUUGUUAGAGAAGAUAAUGACGGUAUCUAACGAAUAAGCACCGGCUAACUCCGUGCCAGCAGCCGCGGUAAUACGGAGGGUGCAAGCGUUACUCGGAAUCACUGGGCGUAAAGAGCGCGUAGGCGGGAUAGCAAGUCAGAUGUGAAAUCCCAUGGCUUAACCAUAGAACUGCAUUUGAAACUGUCAUUCUAGAGUGUGGGAGAGGUAUGUGGAAUUCGUGGUGUAGGGGUGAAAUCCGUAGAGAUCAAGAGGAAUACCGAUUGCGAAGGCGACCUACUGGGACGUAACUGACGCUGAUGCGCGAAAGCGUGGGGAGCAAACAGGAUUAGAUACCCCGGUAGUC